UUUGACAGCUAAUUCUACAACUUGAUUGUAAAGAAAAUUACAUUGCUAUAAUUUUGUUAAUCUUUCUUUCUAAAAUUGAAAGCAAAUUUUGUGUUUCACAAUAGAACAAUUGUCAUUCUUUUGGUAUCUGUGACAUUAAUCUCCAGAAACCUCCAGAUUGCGUUCCAGCGCCUCCAGUGAAACCUCUGGUAGAGCCUCCAGUCAAGAAUUUCUACUGGAGGCGCUGGAACAGGCCCUUAUUCUCGAUUGCAAUUGUGGAAUUAUUUAUUAAACAGAAGAUGAUCUUUCCGAAAAACCGACUGAUUUCAUACACAGAUGCAUGGAAAAUAAAAAAAUCCCGAGCUGGUGGUGGGCCAGCAGUGCGGCUUGGAGUCGGACUGCUCCAGGAUGAUGCCGGAGACCAGGUGCUCCUCCACGGGUGUGUGCACGUGCAGAGACGGCUACCGACAGACGUCCGACGGCCGCUGUCAGCAGCACGCUCGGCUGGACGAGCCCUGUGUGGAAAACGUGGACUGUCAGACUUUGGUGCCAAACGCGGUUUGUGCAAGCAGCAGAUGCAGUUGCAGCACAGGCUUCUGGAACUAUCAGAAUAAGGAAUGCAGGAGAGUUUCAACGGUGGACAAAGAUGGGCCAUGUGUGGAUGACCGGGAAUGCAGGUCAAACAGUGGUCUCCGGUGCGCAUCGGGGACCUGUUCCUGCAUCACCAAGACGACACAAAAUUAUGAGUAUCGCCUGUUUGGGGGUGCUGACUGCACUGAGGGCAACAUCCAACUGAGACCAAGCGGCGAGCGCUGGGGUGUCGUCUGCGAUGACGAAUGGGAUGUCAGGGACGCUAGUGUGGUGUGUAGAACGCUCGGCUUUGGGUCAGGACUGCCAACCAAAAAAUCCACUUUUGGUAAUGGUACUGGGCUCAAAUUCUACAUGGACGACGUGUCUUGCAGCGGCAGCGAAUCUCACCUGCUUGCCUGCGAUUACCUCGGCUGGGGGGCGCACAACUGCGGAUCGGCGGAGCUCGCCGGUGUCCGCUGUGGCGCCUGAGCGACGCUCGGGACGGCCCGCGACGCUGCCCUGCCAUGUCACGGUGCGCUACGUACCCGCGCUGAUCACUCAACAGCAACGUUGUCCUUUAAUGUAAACACAGCUUUAUGCUGUGUUCACUUCCGAAAAGAGCUUAACCUUAGAACUGAAUAGCUAAGAUGAAAUAAAUUCAGUAAAAUAAAUGUUAUUUUACGAGCA
rnacentral:misc_RNA from 1 species